UACGUAGGGUGCAAGCGUUGUCCGGAAUUAUUGGGCGUAAAGAGCUCGUAGGCGGUUCGUCACGUCGGCUGUGAAAACCCGGGGCUCAACCCCGGGCCUGCAGUCGAUACGGGCGAACUAGAGUGCGGUAGGGGAGACUGGAAUUCCUGGUGUAGCGGUGAAAUGCGCAGAGUAUCAGGAGGAACACCGGUGGCGAAGGCGGGUCUCUGGGCCGUAACUGACGCUGAGGAGCGAAGCGUGGGGAGCGAACAGG
rnacentral:rRNA from 1 species